UUCACAAAUGAAAGGAAGAAGAGGCUCCCGAGAGCCUUAUUUAAGAAAAGAGGGGGAGUUUCUUAAUUUUUUUUUUUCCUCAAGGUUUUUCAUACAAAACUCAUGAUCUACAGAGAUCUAACCGUCCAAACUCAAAUCUGUCUUCGGUAACGUGAUCUACAAAGCCUGAUCUACGUUUCUACCGAUCGUUUUCAGGUAAUGAGUUACUUGAAACUUGCUUGAAGUUACCCAAACCAUGAGUUUUGGUUUGGUGAAAUUUUGCAACCCCCACAACCGUGCAGACAUUGAUGCUUUGGUUGCAGGUUCUGCGGAUAUAGAUAAUGACUCGUCCACCUAGCGUAUGGGAUGCUAUGAUUGGAGUACAUCGCGACAGUCAUAAGUCACAGACUCAUGGAUAGUCUGCACUUGGGUAUUUUAUUUAUGGCUCGUGUCCUACGUGGCAUAUGUAUUUGUUGAGCCUAUACUUUAGUGUGUAGUUAAUGUAAUGUGUUUUAUAAGCCUUAAAUAGAUAGACUUGUAAGUGGCUCUUGUUGUAAUUAUUUGUUAGGUAUUAGAUGUAUUUCCGCUUAUGAUAUAUGUGUUCCGCUGCACAUUGAUUAUUAUAUUUCUCUGUUAGAUGUAACUCUGAAUAUCAGGUGCAUGCUAUGGUGCAUGUGCCAUAUGUUGGCUGAGUGACGUGUAGUAGUGCCACUGUGAAGAUCCGUUUGUAUGUUUUCAAAAAUGAAAAAAAAAAAAAAAAAAAAAAGGGUCGUCACACUUAGAGCUUAGAGAGUAUAAUUUAGGAGUUAUUGUGCUGAUCAGUUUGCUGUCAAGCGAUUGCCGAAGUGCUGUUGGUGUGCUCGUGUUGAAGUCUAUCUUAGGGAGGAGCCAUAAGGUAAAAGAUUCCAUUGAAGACCCCUUCAAGUAGGUGACUUGGUUGGGAGGCGUUCGCGUUGGGUUACACAUCAGAACUUUAGGUACGACCACUGCAUCAGGGGUAUAUGAGUGUUACUGCUUUGUAACUAGCUUUAUCUUCUGAAUAGUGGAAAUCCUGGGUUUGGCUGCUUCGGAGUGGUUUUUUUCUUUAUUGAAUUUUCAUUUCGUUAACAAAAUAUAUGUCUCAUUUAUA